UAGGGAAUCUUCCGCAAUGGACGCAAGUCUGACGGAGCAACGCCGCGUGAGUGAAGAAGGAUUUCGGUUCGUAAAACUCUGUUGUUAGAGAAGAACAGCGCAUAGAGUAACUGUUAUGCGUGUGACGGUAUCUAACCAGAAAGCCACGGCUAACUACGUGCCAGCAGCCGCGGUAAUACGUAGGUGGCAAGCGUUGUCCGGAUUUAUUGGGCGUAAAGCGAGCGCAGGCGGUCAAUUAAGUCUGAUGUGAAAGCCCCCGGCUCAACCGGGGAGGGUCAUUGGAAACUGGUUGACUUGAGUGCAGAAGAGGAGAGUGGAAUUCCAUGUGUAGCGGUGAAAUGCUUAGAUAUAUGGAGGAACACCAGUGGCGAAGGCGACUCUCUGGUCUGUAACUGACGCUGAGGCUCGAAAGCGUGGGUAGCAAACAGG
rnacentral:rRNA from 1 species